rnacentral:rRNA from 1 species
AUUGAACGCUGGCGGCAUGCCUUACACAUGCAAGUCGAACGGUAACAGGUCUUCGGAUGCUGACGAGUGGCGCACGGGUGAGUAAUACAUCGGAACGUGCCCGAUCGUGGGGGAUAACGAGGCGAAAGCUUUGCUAAUACCGCAUACGAUCUACGGAUGAAAGCGGGGGAUCUUCGGACCUCGCGCGGACGGAGCGGCCGAUGGCAGAUUAGGUAGUUGGUGGGAUAAAAGCUUACCAAGCCGACGAUCUGUAGCUGGUCUGAGAGGAUGAUCAGCCACACUGGGACUGAGACACGGCCCAGACUCCUACGGGAGGCAGCAGUGGGGAAUUUUGGACAAUGGGCGAAAGCCUGAUCCAGCCAUGCCGCGUGCAGGAUGAAGGCCUUUGGGUUGUAAACUGCUUUUGUACGGAACGAAAAGCCUCUUUCUAAUAAAGAGGGGUCAUGACGGUACCGGAAGAAUAAGCACCGGCUAACUACGUG